rnacentral:ncRNA from 1 species
AAGUCACUGUUAAUGAGAGAUGGUUGUCAUCUCCCCUGACAGGGACGGGAACAACCUUCGAGCUUUACCUGUUAUCCGAACUGUACUAUAAGUCCUUCACUUUUU